CUCGGGAACUUUAGGCAACUCUGGCUUUGGUAACCCGGGAACUUUUGGUGCUUCAGAUUUUGACAAUUUAGGAGCUUUGGGCAUCUCAGGAACUUUAGGUAAUUCUGGAACUUUGACUUCUUCAGGUUUUUUCAACUCGGGAACCUUAGGAAAUUCAGGCUUUGGCAACUCUGGCACUUUUGGAAACUCAGGAACCUUAGGUAGUUCAGGUUUUGGCAACUCUGGCACUUUCGGAAACUCGGGAACCUUAGGCAAUUCAGGUUUUGGCAACUCCGGAACUUUAGGCAAUUCAGGCUUUGGCAACUCAGGCAUUUUAGGUAUUUCGAGUUUUGGGAUUUCCGGUAAUUCAGGCUUUGGAAGUUCAACCUUUGGGAAGGACGGUAUCUUAGGCAACUCCGGUUUAGGAAUCUCCGGCACAGAUGUCUCCAAAAGACGCCGAGCACCAACCAAGACUGUGUUGCUGCUCAUCAAUGACAAAGUGACGAAUAAAAACGGUAGCACAAAGAAAGGCAAACGAUGGGAAGCCAUGAUUAAGAAAAAUCAGAGGGGAGAUGACAACAAGUGCUUCAAAAUGAAUACUUGAAGUGUGCUUGUUUAUGCAAUUGCAAGAGAUGAUGAGCCUUUUAUAGGUAUUGGGAAGUAGAGAUUAUGUGGGUGUUUGGUGAGAAAUUCUACAUUUUGUUAGUUCAACUUCUCACCUAUUCAUUUCUAAAGAUUAUAUCAAAUAUAUUAUGACACAUACAUUUGACUCCCAUCCUAUAUAAUUAGUUGUAAAGUAAGUUUAUUAAGUUGUCAUCACUUUAAUCAAUGGCUUUCAUUUGAAUAAGCAAUUAAUAUACUCAUGUUAUCAUAUAAUUCAUGUUUAUUUUCUUCAAAUAUUGGUGGGGAUUUUAUCUUAAAACAUGCACUACACAAUAAUUUUUGCUAAUGUUGAUUACGAUACGAUUAUUUAAAAUAAUUACAUAUAAUAUUAAGAAACUAAUAUAAAUAUAAUAAAUAUAUGAACGUAAUAAAAUUUAUAUAAUAUUUUAAAUACAAUCAUAGUAUAAAAAAUAAUAUAAAUAUAAUAAAUAUAUGCCACCCAGGAGGUUCCUUUGCUACUUUUGGUUUGUUCAACCAUCUACCACCAACUUGCUUUUGCAACUAUGAUUAUGUCUUUAUCUUUAUUAUUUAUUUUAAAAAAAAUUAAUAGACGUAGAAGAAAAAUUAAAAUAUUAAAGUUUGGUUACUUACGGUGGACAUGAUAAAUGAUUUUUCUGGAAAUUUUGAACAGUGUCGGUAGGAUCAAUAGGAAUGAUCACAAAGUAAUAAGAAAUAAAAAAUAAGAACAUGUAGAUUUUACAUGAAAAAUCUUUAUAGGGAAAAAAUCACAGAUAAAGGAUGAAAAGUUUACUACUGUUGAAAAAUAACAAUACAAGAGAUUUGCAACUAUGCGCAGUUUUUAAGUGUUAAACAACUUGUCUAAUAGAAAAGUAUAAUUCUAUACGGAUUCCCCAAUUUUGCCUCUCUAUUUUGUUUUUUUAAUAAGUGAGUUGCAUCUCAAACUUUUUAGACCGAAUCAAACGGGAUUCGGGUCACACAACUCAACAGUUUUUAACAAGUGAGUUGCACUUCGAACUUUUCAGACCGAAUCAAACGAGAUUCGAGUCACACAACUGUAAUAAUUUAUAAGAAAAUAUUUUAGUGGGGUUAAAAGGGAAAAAUAAAUAAUUGAAAUUUCUACCAAUAUUUUCAAAAUGAAAUAAUUGAAUUCAUAGUUUUCAAAUUAGGGUUAGAGGAAAAUCAUUAGGGGGGAAUAAAAUAGGGUUAUAAGGGGGAAAUUACAAUCAAAAAGAGUUAAAAGGGAAAAUUGUAAUUUCAUUUACACCUAAAUAAAUACUUUUUAUUUGUACCUCCCUUGUUUUGAAGUGAAAUUUUUAAGGGUUUAUUUAAGAAUAACUUAAAAUGCUAGAACAUAUUUAUGUACAAAUUAAAAAUUAAUUUCUUAUUAAGUAUAAAUUAAAAGGUAAAAACAUAUUUUAUGCCCUUUUCAAUUUCGAUAUUAAGUAAAUUGGUCCCACUCGGAAAAUUUGAAACAAUUUAAUCCCUGUUAAUUUUGAAAGGGAGCAACUAAUGACAAGUAAUCACAGUGUUAAUAUUUUUAAUCAAUUGUACAUAAUUUGAUUGGUAUAACAACAAACUUAGCCCUCAAUGUUUAUACAUUUACAUGAAUAUUGACAGAAUAUGCAAAUAUUGUGGGCUAAAUUUGCUAAAUCAAAACCAAACUGAUAGAAUGUGUAAAGUUUGAGGAUUAAAUUUAUUAUUAUACCAAUAAAAAUAUUGAGUUGAGUUUCAAAAAAUAUGAUAAAACAUAUGACAAAUGCAAUCCUUUGUUGCUUGCAAGGGUCCAAUAAAUAAUAAUGCAGAAACAUUAAUAAAUCCUCAUAAUUUUAGUAUUUUUUUAAUUUUUUUAUAUAUUUAUAAUUUUCCAUACUUCAUAUCUUUUUAUAUAUCCUAAUAUUUUUUUAUUUUUUUUCAAAAUUUUGUGUAUAAUUUAGAAAUGAAAAUUUCAUACUAGAUAUAAUUUUGGAGUAAAAUAAUAUUAUUUAUAAAUAUUAAAAAAUUUUAAUGGGUUCUAUAAUGGAAAAGAAAAAAAACUGUAAUUUUAAAUUAUUAUAUUUUAAACAAAAUUUGGUAAGGAAAAAAAUUAUAUUACAUAUAUGUUUUAAAAAAUAUAUGAAUAAUUAAAUAAAUUAAACAAGUUUACUAAGAUGAACCAAAAUUGGUAUCCCAUCAUAAUUUUUUUGUCUUAUCUCAUAAUUUUUUGGUGGUAUUUCGUAUUUCUUCAUAAUUUUUUUGUAAUCUCUCAUAUUUUUUUUUUCUAUAUUCCCUCAAUAUUUUUUGUAUUUCCUCAUAAUUUUUAGUACUUAUUCAUAAUUUUUUAUUAUUCUCUUAGUUUUUUCUGUAUAGCCUCAUAUUUUUUUGUACUUCCUUGUAUUUUCCGGUAGUCCUUUAUAACUGUAAAUUUGGAGUAAAAAAUUUAUGACAGAAUGCUAAAAAUGAUAAAGGAAUACCAAAAAAAUAUAGGUGGGUGACAACAGAGGCAUGUGCCAAAAAAAUAAGUACCAAAAAUUAUGAUAGACUACCAAUUUUAGUUCGUCUUAUAAAAUUUAUUUAAUUUAUCUAGUGUCGAAUUUUUUUAAAUCGACUUUUUAUUUAAAAACGAAAAUGGAGUCGCCAUUAAUCACUUUUAGGAGGUGUGAUUGGGUCACCUCGUAAUUUAAUCGUUUUAAUAAGAUGUUUAAUUUAUUAAAACAAUAUUUUUCGGUCUACAAAAAUCCAGAAAGUGGGUUCGGGAGUCGGUUACACACGAGGAAGGAUUAACACUCUCGUUAUGCCCAAAAUUGGUACCUAAUUGGUUACUUGAUGUCUUUAGUGUCGAAAAUUGAAAAUUUGAAGAGAUUUUAGAAUGCGACCCCACUUUGCAUAACGUUAUUCUUUGAUUAAAACUGAUUGAAUAAAUCAAAACGUAUAUAAAAGGCUCUCUUAUCUCGAGGUAACAAAAGGUCGCAUCCGUAAGUUAGGACACGACUACCCAAAUCCUCAAAAAUAAGCUUACUCUUUAUUUUAAUUACUAUUUAAAUCUCCUGUGUUUAAAUUUUAAAAGGAAUGUUCGGUUAUCUUGGUUCAAAGAGAAAGUCGAACCCCGUAAGUUAGGGCACGACCUUUCGAAUCUCCAAAUACGGAACAUUAUCUUAAUUUUAAAAAUUUUCCUUUUAUGCAUCGAGUAAAAAUUGACGUAAUACUUAAAAUAGCAUAUAUUUAGUUUAUUCGAGUAUGGUACAAAAACAGACAAAUAUGUUUAAAUGUAACACUUGGCACAAAUAUUAACACAAUAUAUAAUAACGGGUAAAAAACAGAUAACAUAACAAGUGGAUAAAUCAAUAAAACGAAAAUACUACGCUAGUGAAUGAUGAUAAUACACUAUAAUGAUGAUAUAAAAAAAUAACAAUUUAAUAAUAAUAGCAAUAGUUAUACUAGUAACCAUCAUAAUAUUAACAGAAAUAAUAAUAAUAAUAAUAAUAAUAAUAAUAAUAAUAAUAAUAAUAAUAAUAAUAAAAGAAGAAUAAUGUGUAACACGAUGAAAAUAUAAACAUCAUGAAAAUAAAAUAAGGGAAAAGAAAUAAUAAUUAAAGAAAUAAAAUAAUAAAAUUGAAAAUUUGAAAUGAAAUAAAUAAAGGAUUAAAUUAGAAAUAAAAUGAAAUUAAGGGCAUAAAUUGUAAAAUAUAAGUAAAUAGAUAAAUAAGAAAAUAAAUAAUAUAGAAAUUAUAAAAGAUUGAAAUUAAAUGGACUGAGGACUAAAUCGGGAUUAGAGUGAACUUAAAGGCAUAAAUUUAAAUAAGAUAAGUAAAUAAAAUACUAAAAUAAAAAUGCAAAAGUAUUAGAAAAAAGGGACUAAAUGGGCGAUUAUUCCAAGUUUUAUUAUGUGCACCAUUUCCAAGAGACUAAAUGGUCAAAGGACCAAAAAAAAACUUAGAUGGAUAAAUUAAAAAAGAAAAAGGCUGGAAUUAGGACCAAAAUAAAACACGCGUAAAGGAGGAGGGACUAACUGGGAAACUAUUCCCUGUCUCAAAACGUGUUGUUCCUUAAGGGACCAAAUUGAAACAAAAUCAAAAUCAUAGGGUAGAAAUUAAAGAACAAAAAAGGACUGAAUUAAAAAUAAUAAAAAAGCGGAAGGACUAAAGGUGCAAUUAGACCCCCUUAAAAAACACGCUGAUCCUAGGCCGGGUGGUUCGGGUUGGAUCGGGUCAACCAAAACGACGCCGUUUUGGGCGUCUGAGGCCAAUCCCAAAACGGCACCGUUUUAGGGGCCUAUAAAAGUAAACAAUUUCAAAAAAAAAUCAUUCUAACUCUGUUUUAAAAAAAAUUCCUUUUCUUCGUUUUUUCUCUGAAACACGCCCCAAGUCCUGCCAUGGAGCCGUCAUGAGCCCGUCGUGGGCCACCGGUCUUCGGUGACAGUGGCCAUCGCCACCGGUGGCCGAAGAGAGAAAAAAAGACUUUUCAACCUUCGCCUUUUUAAAUCUCUUUUUUAAAACCCUUUAACCCCCUUUUUUAAAAACCUGAGUUGAAACAAAAUGCCGAAACCCUAGAAAAUUUAAGAAACCUUUCGAUUUCCAGUCACCCCAACGAGGUUUUCGGCAAACCACCAAGGGUUCGGCCACCUUCCAAGCCAGAGAAGUCUCCGGUGACGGCGAUAAAGGUAAAAGUUUUUGUAUUAUAUAUACACACGAUAUGUUUAAGAAAAUAUAAAUAUGUAAAAGCAAAAAUACCUUUCUUAAAAACUAUUGUGAGAUUUUUUAUAUUUCUUCCCCUCCUCUGUAAAACACAUUGGAUUUGGCUUUUAUAGCCGUUCAUGCAUAUUUUAUCUACUAUUCCUUGUUGUUUUUGUUUCUAUCGUUUUUCAUCUUUUUUGCAGGUUUGGCACCCGGUCAACAGAGGAGAGAAAGUCCCUUUGUUGUUUUGGUGAAAUGGCGGUAAGAAGGGUGCGUCAGGCUUCGGGAAGAGGUACCUCGGGUGACGUGCGUGUGAAAGGGGAGAGGUGCGGCGUUAGAAGCUAGGGUUUUCAUUUUUUUUUCUGACAAUAGUUUAGGUCAUUGAGCCUUAGGGUUUGUGUCAUUUGGGCUUGUAUUGGGCCACAUUUGUUUAAAAUGGACUUUGUACUGUUAAUUUUAUAUUUUAUUUUUGGUUCGUGUUUUGGUUAGGCCCGGAUAGAAAUGGUCUGUUACAUUUAGUCUUUCAAAAAAAUUAAAUUUAUUAGUAUAUAUAACAAAUCUUUUAAGUAUGCAAAAAAAUUAUAUCAAAAUUUGAUUUUUCAUGUCAAAAUUUAAUUUUGAAAGUAUAUAAAAAAUUAUGAGAGAUUACCAAUAAUUAUGGAGUACUAAAUAUUAUAAGAAAGUAUAAAAAAUUACGAGAAAAUGUAAAGAAAAAAAAAUGGGAGCUUAUAAGAAGCUCACCUAGAAUUCCCCAUCAACAUGAGACAACCUUAACCCCUCAAACACUUCUAACCCUAGAAUCAAGAAGCAUGUCAUAUGACCUUGCUUGUCAUGUCAUGUCAUCUUAGACUAAAAGUGAGUUGCGAAUACCAGUAUGCAGUAUGCUCAACUUUGGUUAAAGCUUUUUCCUUGUAUUCAGAGGGUAAUAUCUUCAUACCAUUGUCCCGACAUGCACCGAGGGACAAAAGUCGAAACAACAUACAUUGGAACAUUUAAUGAUUAGAAUAACAUUUAAUCAAAAAGUUAGAUUCUCUCUCCACGAAUGUUGCAAUAAAAAUAUGAUGCAUGUAAUAAGUCAAGGAAAUUAAACACACAACAAUUCAAUCCCCAAAAAAGAAAUAGCUGCACAUGGGUGAACAGGGGAAUGUUGAUUCCUUCAAACACCUUUUAAAUAUAUUUUUAUAUCCGACAUUCACACUCGAAUCUAAUAGGGUCAUGCUAAUUACCAAUUAUUAAUAUAGCGAGUCCUUAAAUGAGGGCAUAGAGUUUAUCAUACACUAUUGCCAUGGGUUUUUCACAAUUGGCAUGGGAAGCUAAUGGCUAAGAUUAUUAACAUACUAGCAAGUCUGCAUUUCGCUACAACUAGAAGAUAAAACUGCAUACUUAAAUAGAGUCGUACAAUUUCGAUUGUAGUUCAUUUGUUUCAAGUUAAGUACAUAUAAUCUUAUGUGAGCUUGUUUUGAUUGAUUCAAGUGCUAUAUUUACCAACAUCACUACAUGCAUUGAAACAUUCAAGGGCAUUAUGCCUGAUAAUAUUCCCACGGCUAAGGAAUUUAGGAUCGACAUUGAAAAGAGAUUUGUCAAGAACAAAAAGGUAGAAAUUGAUACAUUCUUAGCAAAUCUAACUUCAAUGAGGUAUAUAAGAAAAUAAGAAAGUUGCAUAUACUACAUUACAAAAGAAACAACAAAAGGAGUUAACUAAAGAUGGUUGUUUCUCUUGUGGUGUGACAAUGCUCUUCUUCAUUUUCUUUGUUUGAGGUUAAUUUGAUUUCGGUACCUAGACGCAUUUAGUGGAUAAAUUCUAGUGCAACAACUCACAUUAGUGUGUUUAUGCAAGGCUGUCAGAAUUAUUGAAAGUCUAAUAAUGGUGGAAGAUACAUCUAUGCAGGCUACAAUAAUUCGGUAAAAGUUGAAGCAAUAAGGACUUUUAGAUUAUUAUUAAUAAUUAGAUUUUAUUUGGAUUCAAAAUUUUGUCAAUAAGAUGCAAAAUAGUAAUAUAUAUUAUUUUAUAUAUAAUAAUAUAUAUUAUAUGAAAGAGAAACACUUAUAUUAUAAAAAUGUAUCAAGUUCUUUAACUAUUCACAUCAUUCUUAAGAGUUUGGAAGAAAUUAAUGGGAGAACUUAUAGUUUAAAGUUAUUUAUGUAUAAUAAUAUUAUAUUGUUAUUUAAUAUUUAUAUUAUAAUAUAUAUUAUUUAUAUAUUAGUAUUUUAUAUCAUAUAUAUUAUAUAUUACAAGGUUCUGGUUAAUUAAGGAAAUAAAUAUAAUGUUCACAAUAUAUAUUUUUUAAGAUAUAUGUUAGGUCCAAAAAUAUCAAGAAGGGAAUAAAUUGGUAUUUUAAAAUUUUUUUCAAACUUUUCUAAAUGAUAAGAAAAUGGAAGAAAAGUUUGGAUAAUUCGAUUUAUAGUGGUUCGGCCCCGAUUGCCUACUUCGACUACCUUGAUAUACCUUAACAAAGGAUUUUCCAAUUCACGAUACUUGAAUACUUUUCUCUUGAUCUUGAUGCUGAAUAACGCUCUCUUGAGUCUUGAAGUGUUCUUGAAGCAUAUUUAUACUAAGAAACAAAAUUUUCAAUGUUUAUGGCCAUAGGGGAUGAAAUCUAGUCGUUUAAAGUGUUAAUUUUGGGCUUAAAAACUAUCCCUGCACAUCAUGUCUCUAGACCUAGCAAGAUGUCUUGAAACAAGGUUGAAAAAUAGUCGUUAUAUAACUGUUGGCAGGCCAUGUCUCAAGACAAUCUGCUAAUUGUCUCUAGACAUACUGCACAAUGUUUCAAGACAGGCAACUCCUGAAGCAGAUUUUUGCUUCGAAGUUUUCAUGUCUUUAGACGUAUAAUCGUAUGUCUCGGGACUUGCAUGAUUAAACCCCUUAAAAACAUUUUAAACACCUUAGAACACUUUGGCAUUAAUCCAAAAACAUUUAGAUAAAUUAAAACACAUUUAAAAUAUAUUUUUGAGUAUUUUGCAAGUAUUUAAAAAUACGUUGAAAAUGUUUGAUACAAUUUUCAAUCAUAUUUUCACUAGAUGAUUUACGACAUAUAAUAUAUAUAUAUAUAUAUAUAUAUAUAAUUUUUCUUAAAUGUUAUUAUAUUAAAAGCUUGGGACAUCAAAGCUAAUAAUAUAGUAGUCUCCAUCUCAAGCACUUAUAUUAUCAAUCUCACAUUGACUAUAAAACACUUUCAUAUCUCGUCCUUACACUAUAAGUUUCUUCACCAUUUACAUAAUCUAUUUAAAGUUUUUUUCAUUCGAAGAAAUUCAUAAGUGAAGCCUAUAGUUUAAUUUUAUUGAUAUAUUAUUUAUAUAUUUUUAUUUAAUAUUUAUAUUAUAUUAGUUUAAGCCCACUUAACUGACUCAUAUAUGAUUUUCUUGGUCUCUCCGGAGACAUUCAUGUCAAUAAGUCAAGACAGAUAUUUCCAUGAUUCCACCUUGCUGGCUUUUCGACCUCCUUGGUGCUCCUCUUCAGUUUUUUGGCGUCCCUCUAAUGACGGUGACUAAUGAAAGUAGCUAGGGUUUGGUUAUUUCCGAUAUUUGUUUCUAGGGCUUGUGUUUGCUGAGCUUGAGCUUUGGUCCAUUUCAAGCCUUUCGACUUCUGUUUUUUUUUGGGGGGGUUCUGUAGGCCUUUUUUAUGUUUGUAUUUUUUCUUUUCUUUAAUGAAAUCUUCGUAUUGAACAAGAAAAAGAGCAUGCCAAAUCCCAAGUAAAGAAAAAAUUGAACUUUGUGUAUAUAACUAUAAAUUUAGUUAGAAAGUGUACAUGUAUAAUAUAAGAUGAUAACAAUAAAAUCACUCAAAACAAACAUAUAUAAAUAAUCUAGUCCACAAGUGAUACAUGACAUGAAUUUAAAUAUGCUAAUCAACACACUCUUAUAAGAAGAAUAUCUAAAAAUCAUAUGUUUAUUGUUGAGGGAAAACAAACAUUGUACCAUGAUUCAAGGUUUUAGUACGGUAGGCAAAUCAGGCAACUUAAGGCAAUUCUUGUUUAGGUGUUUCCGGCUUUGGUAGAUUGGGUAACUUAGGUAGUUCUGGUUUGGGUAGCUCUGGAACUUUGGGUUCUUCGGGUUUCGGCAUGUUAGGCAAUUCAGGAACUUUAGGUAAUUCAGGUUUUGGCAACUCAGGAGUUUUGGGCAAUUCUGGUUUCGGUACCUCUGGAACUUUAGGCAAUUCUGGUUUUGUUAACUCGGAAAUUUUAGGUAAUUGGGGUUUUGGUAAUUCAGGAGCUUUUGGCAAUUCUGGCUUAGGCACCUCAGGAACUUUGGGUAAUUCAGGUUUUGGCAACUCAGUCGCUUUGGACAAUUCUGGUUUUGGUACCUCAGGAAUUUUAGGCAAUUCCGAUUUUGUUAACUCAGGAAUUUUUGGCAAUUCAGGAGCUUUGGGCAAUUCCGACUUAGGCACCUUAGGAACUUUAGGCAAUUCUGACUUUGGUAACUCAGGAACUUUUGGUGAUUCAGGUUUUGGCAACUCAGGAGCUUUGGGUAAUUCAGGCUUGGGCAAUUCUGGCUUAGGUAACUCGGGAACUUUAGGCAAUUCUGGCUUUGGUAACUCAGGAACUUUUGGUAAUUCAGGUUUUGGCAACUCGGGAGCUUUGGGUAAUUCAGGCUUGGGCACUUCAGGAACUUUAGGAAAUUCUGGCUUUGGUAACUCCGGAACUUUUGGUGCUUCAGAUUUUGACAAUUUAGGAGCNNNNNNNNNNNNNNNNNNNNNNNNNNNNNNNNNNNNNNNNNNNNNNNNNNNNNNNNNNNNNNNNNNNNNNNNNNNNNNNNNNNNNNNNNNNNNNNNNNNNNNNNNNNNNNNNNNNNNNNNNNNNNNNNNNNNNNNNNNNNNNNNNNCGGGGACCUUAGGCAAUUCGGGCCUUGGCAACUCCGGAACUUUAGGCAAUUCAGGUUUUGGCAACUCGGGCAUUUUAGGUAGUUCAGGUUUCGGGAUUUCUGGCAAUUCAGGCUUUGGAAGUUCAACCUUUGGGAAUGACGGCAUGUCAGGCAACUCGGGUUUAGGAAUCUCCGGCACAGAUGUCUCCAAAAGACGCCGAGCGCCAACCAAGACUGUGUUGCUACUCAUCGAUGACAAAGUGAUUAACAAAAAGGGUAACACAAAAAAAGGCAAACGAUGAUAAGCCAUGAUUAAGAAAAUCAGAUGGGAGAUGACAACAAGUGCUUCAAAAUGAAUACUUGAAGGGUGCUUGUUUAUGCAAUUGCAUGAAAUGACGAGGCUUUUAUAGGUAACAGGAAGUGGAGAACAAGAAGGUUUUGUGGAUGUUUGGUGAGAAAUUCUAGAUUUUGUUAGCUCAACUUCUCACCUGUUCUUUACUGAAAAACUAUAUCAAACUAUGACACAUACAUUUNNNNNNNNNNNNNNNNNNNNNNNNNNNNNNNNNNNNNNNNNNNNNNNNNNNNNNNNNNNNNNNNNNNNNNNNNNNNNNNNNNNNNNNNNNNNNNNNNNNNNNNNNNNNNNNNNNNNNNNNNNNNNNNNNNNNNNNNNNNNNGGUAUGUUAUAUAUAUAUAUAUAUAUAUAUAUAUAUAUAUAUAUUAAAAUAAGUUAAUUGAAGGAAUAAGUCGCCAAAGUGACCUUUGUUGCAGAAAUUAUUUUGUUUUGGAAUGUAAAAAGGUGAUGCACAUAUAACUUAUGUUAAUAUUGAUCAAUCCAAAAGAAAGUUAAUAUUUAACAAAAUUACAUGUGCAACUGGGAUAAUAAACAUGUGACAAUCAUUUGAUUUUACAUGUGUGAUAAAUCGACCCAAAGAAAGAUUUAUUGUUCGACAUGUUCUUAUUGACAAUGUUUAAUUACUACACCAAGAUAUCACUUACAAGUUAAUAUUUUGUCCAGAGAUGAAAUAUUAAUAGAGUGACUGGUAUCUUGAUAUGAGACUUACCUUUAUUCAAAUUAUUUUUGUUUAAAUUUGAAAUCUUAUGUGAACUUGUUUUGAUUGAUUCAACUACUAUACUGGCCAACAUCACUACAUGCAUUAAAACAUUCAGGGGCAUUAUGUCUGAUAAUAUUACCACAGCUAAGGAAUUUAGGAUCGACAUUGAAAAGAGAUUUGUCAAGAACGAAAAUAUAGAAAUUGAUACAUUCUUAACAAAUCUAACUUCAAUGAGGUAUAUAAGAAAAUAAGAAAGUUGCAUAUACUACAUUACAAAAGAAACAACAAGAGGAGUUAACUAAAUAUGGUUGUUUCUCUUUUGGUGCGACAAUGCACUUCUUAAUUUUCUUUGUUUGAGGUUAAUUUGAUUUCGGUACCUAAACGCACUUGGUGAAUAAAUUCUGGUGCAAUAACUCGCAUCAGUGUGUUUAUGCAAGGCUGUCAAAACUAUUGAAAGCCUAAUGAUUGUGAAAGAUACAUCUAUGUAGGCUACAAUAAUUCGGUAGAAGUUGAAACAAUAAGGACUUUUAGAUUAUUAUUAAUAAUUGAGUUUUAUUUGGAUUUGAACAAGACUUUUGUUAUGCCGUCCUUUAGGCGGAACUUGAUUUCCAUUUCAACAUUGGAUAAAUUUAGUUAUUCUUGUUCAUUUAGAAAUUGAAAUUUUAGUCUCUUUCAUAAUUUAAAUUUGGUUGGUUCCAGUUCUUUAUCAGGUUAUGAAAAUUUAUAUUUAAUUGAUACUAUUACUUAAUUUAAAGGAAUCCUUGCAAAGAAACACAAAUUAACCGCUAAGAAAUUGAUUUCGUUGUAACACAAGAGAUUAGGUUAUAUCUCAAAAAUGAGAAUUGAGAGACUUCUGUCCAACAAUAUUUUUUAUCUCUUUGAUUUUUUUCGGAUACUCUAAAAGAUAUAAGGGUUACAAAUUUUAUGAUCUCACUACUAAUGUUAUUUUUGAGACAGAUAAUGCUUGUUCUUUAAGGAUGUUGAGUUUGUGGGGGAAGAGAGAAUUAAAGACAAUGUAUUUAAAGAAGAAUAUGUUGGUAUUCCUCAACGCAUUCUUUUAAUUGUUAUUGGUAAAUAUCAUCAACACUUUGUUGUACCUGAAAUUGUUCAAGCAGCAACUUUGGAUCAAGACAACGUCGUUGAACCUCCAUCUCAAGUAACAAACUCUACAACCUCAAGAAUAAAUGUCAUUAAGAAGGCCUACUAGAGAAAGGGUUAUAACAGCUUUAGUGAUAUAUUUUGACUUUGAGCUAUAUCAGAUGGAUGUCUAGACUAGGUUUUUCAGUUGCGACAUUGAUGAGACAAUUAAUAUAAUGCAACCAAAAAGCUUUGCGUUCGACGAUGUAAAGUCAAUGGUUUUCAAAUUAAAGAAAUUUAUUUAUGGGCUUAAGCAGGCCUUUCGUCAAUGGUAUUACAAUAUUCACCAAGUGAUUAUCUUAUUCGAUUUUGAAAUGGUUUUGGUUAAUGAUUGCAUAUAUCACAAGUUUAGUGGGAGUAAGCAUAGUCUCGAUCAAGACCCCAAGAAUGAUUUUGAGAUUACGGAAAUGCAUAAGAUUCCCUACGUUUCAACAGUAGGAAAUCUAAGGUAUAUUCAAGUUUGUACAUGUUCAGAUAUUACGUAUAUUGUUGGAUGUUGAGCAAAUAUUUGAGUAAUUCGGGUAUGGAUAAUUGAAAAGCAACCAAACGAUUUAUACAUUAUAUUCAGAAAACAAAAUAUGUCAUGCUCACAUUCCAAAGAUCUAAUAAGUUAGAGAUUGUCAGGUAUACAAACUUUAAUUUUAUGGUAUAUGGAUGCAAAAUAUUUUUACUAAGGUGCAAAACAAUAUAUAUUAUAUGAAAGAGAAACACUUAUAUUGUAAGAAAGUAUCAAAUUCUUUAACUUUUUACAUAAUUCCGAAUAAAUUCAUAAGACAGCUUAUAGUUUAAAGUUAUUUAUGUAUAAUAAUAUAUUGUCAUUUAAUAUUUAUAUUAUAAGAUAUAUUAUUUAUAUUAUAUUAUAUUAUAUCAUACAUAUUAUAUAUUACAAGGUUCUAGUUAAUUAAGGAAAUAAAUAUAAUGUUUACAAUAUAAUUUUUUUAAGAUAUAUGUUAGGUCCAAAAAUAUCGAGAAGGGAGUAAAUUGGUAUUUUAAAAUUCUUUUCAAACUUUUCUAAAUGAUAAGGAAAUGAAAGAAAAGCUUGGAUAAUUCGGUUUAUAGUGGUCCGGUCUCAAUUGCCUACUUCCACUACCUUGGUAUACCUUAACGAAGGAUUUCCCAAUUCACUAUACUUGAAUACUUUUCUCUUGAUUUUGAUGCUUGAAUAUCUCUCUCUUGAGUCUUGAAGUGUAUUUAUACCAAAAAACAAAAUUUUCAAUGUUUAUGGCCAUUGGGGAUGAAAUCUAGCCGUUGGAAGUAUUAAUUUUGGGCUUAAAAAUUAUCCUUGCACGUCAUGUCUCAAGACCUAGCAAGAUGUCUUAAGACAAGGUUGAAAAAUUGUCGACAUAUAACAGUUGGCAGGCCAUGUCUUGAGACAUGAAUAGUGUGUCUCGAGACAAUCUGCCAAUUGUCUCUAGACAUAUUGCACAAUGUCUCAAGACAGGCAGCUCCUGAAGCAGAUUUUUGCUUCGAAGUUUUCAUGUCUUAAACAUAUAAUCGUAUGUCUCGAGACUUGCAUACCAAAGUCUCUUAAAAAUAUUUUAAACACCUUAGAAUACUUUGGUAUUAACCCAAAAACAUUUAGAUAAAUUAAAAAACAUUUAAAAUAUGUUUUUGAGUAUUUUACAAGUCUUUAAAAAUACUUUGAAAAUGUAUAAUACAAUUUUCAAUCAUAUUUUCACCAAAUAAUUUAGGACAAAUAAUAUAUAUAAAAUUUAUCUUAAAUGUUGUAAGUCACAACAGAUAUUUCCAUGAUUUCACCUUACUUUCAGCUUUUCGACCUCAUUGGUGCCCCUCUUCAGUUUUUCGACGUCCCUCUAAUGACGGUGACUAAUGUAAGUAGCUAGGGUUUGGUUAUUUUUUAUAUUUGUUUCUAGGGUUUGUGUUUGCUGAGGUUGAGCUAAGUGUGAGUAUUUGAUCGAGUCGAGUCAAAUCAAAUUAAAAAAUUUUUAAGUUAGUCGAGUUAAUGAAUCCUAUUUUAGCAACCGAACUCAAUUUGAAAUUUUUUCGAAUCGAAUUGAAUCGAGUUGAGUGACUGAAUCCUAUUAUUGACACUCAAUGUUGCAUUUAUAUGGACCGAUUAUUUAACUAGUAGACGAAGUACAAGAUUAUUUAACUAGAUCAACAAUAUAAUAUUUUUAUUUUUUAACUUAAUGGAUAAACAUUUAUCAAAACGGCGUAGUUUUGUCUUUUAAUUGAAUGGUUUUAACUUUUAACUUUAGGAAAGGUAAACAUUUAUCAAAACGACAUGGUUUUGCCUUUUCUUAUUCGAAUUUUCUACAAAAUUCAAUUAUGUAAUUCAUAUUCGAGUUAAAUCGAAAAUUUUGAUUUUUUAUUCGAGUUGAUCCGAAUAACUCGAACAACUCGAACUAUUUAAUUUAAAUUUUUAAUUUUUUCUCAAAUUUUUAAAAUCGAAUUAAAUUUUAGUCUCCCAUAAGUUGAGCUAUUGUCCAUUUCAAGCCUUUCAACUUCUUAUUUUGUUUUUUGGGGGCUUUUUGUAGGCCUUUUUUUAUGUCUGUAUAUGUUCUUUUCUUUAAUGAAAUCUUUGUAUUGAACAAGAAAAAGAGCAUGCCAAAUCCCAAGUAAAAAAAAAAUCAAACUUUGUGUAUAACUAUAAAUUUAUUUAGAAAGUAUACAAGUAUAAUAUAUAGAUGAUAACAAUAAAAUCACUCAAAACAAACAUAUAUAAAUAAUCUGGUCUACAAGUGAUACAUGAAAUGAAUUUAAAUAUGCUAAUCAACACACUCUUAUAAGAAGAAUAUCUAAAAAUCAUAUGUUUAUUGUCGAGGGAAAACAUAGUACCAUGAUUCAAGGUUUUAGCACGGUAGGCAAAUCAGGCAACUUAAGGCAAUUCUUGUUUAGGUGUUUCUGGCUUUGGUAGAUUGGGUAACUUAGGUAGUUCUGGUUUGGGUAGCUCUGGAACUUUGGGUUCUUCGGGUUUCGGCAUGUUAGGCAAUUCAGGAACUUUAGGUAAUUCAGGUUUUGGCAACUCAGGAGUUUUGGGCAAUUCUGGUUUCGGUACCUCUGGAACUUUAGGCAAUUCUGGUUUUGUUAACUCGGGAAUUUUAGGUAAUUGAGGUUUUGGUAAUUCAGGAGCUUUUGGCAAUUCUGGCUUAGGCACCUCAGGAACUUUUGGUAAUUCAGGUUUUGGCAACUCAGUCGCUUUGGGCAAUUCUGGUUUUGGUACCUCAGGAAUUGUUGGCAAUUCAGGAGCUUUGGGCAAUUCUGGCUUAGGCACCUCAGGAACUUUAGGCAAUUCUGACUUUGAUAACUCAGGAACUUUUGGUGAUUCAGGUUUUGGCAACUCGGGAGCUUUGGGUAAUUCAGGCUUGGGCAAUUCUGGCUUAGGUAACUCGGGAACUUUAGGCAAUUCUGGCUUUGGUAACUCAGGAACUUUUGGUAAUUCAGGUUUUGGCAACUUGGGAGCUUUGGGUAAUUCAGGCUUGGGCACUUCAGGAACUUUAGGAAAUUCUGGCUUUGGUAACUCCGGAACUUUUGGUGCUUCAGAUUUUGACAAUUUAGGAGCAUUGGGAAUCUCUGGAACUUUAACUUCUUCGGAUUUUUUCAACUCGGGAAUCUUAGGAAAUUCAGGCUUUGGCAACUCUGGCACUUUCGGAAACUCAGGAACCUUGGGUAAUUCUGAUUUUGGCA
rnacentral:lncRNA from 1 species